UGCCACCCAAACUCCUCUCUCAAAGCACAGCUCCAUCUUCCUCACAUUAGUAGAUGGUGACAGACAUGACACCAGCAGACUGACUGGAAAUAAGGCCAAUUUAUUUUUAUUGGGAGUACUGCGUCCAGGGCUGGGGCCCCAGUACAAGAAAGAUGCAGAGCUUUGGAUCAAGUCCAGAGAAGGGCCACUAAGAUGAUCAGAGGGCUGGAGCACCUCUCCUAUUGAGAAAGGUGGAGGGAACUGGGCUUGUUUAGUUUGGUGAGGAGAAGGCUCCGGGGAGACCUCAUUGUGGCCUUCCAAUUCUUGAAGGGAGGAUAUAAAGUGGAGGGGGAAUGGCCAUUGACGGGGCUGGAUAGUGACAGAACAAGGGGGAAUGGUUUUAAACUGUGGAAGGGAGGCAGAGUUUGGUUAGAUAUUAGCAGUUCUUCACGCGGAGGGUGGUGAUGUGCUGGAACAGCUUGCCGAGAGGUGGGGGAUGCCCCAUCCCUGGAGGCAUUCAAGGCCAGGCUGGAUAUGGCUCUGGGCAGCCCGGUCUGGUGGUCGGCGACCCCGCACAUAGCAGGUGGAAAUCUGGACAGCUUCCCAGCCCCCUUGCCGAGAGCUCCACCGCGGUCACCACCAUUGCCUCUGGAGCGACGCGAGCAUUGAGCACUAGGGGGGUGAAAAGAACAGUGCACGGAGUGUUACGGGCUGAG
rnacentral:lncRNA from 1 species